rnacentral:rRNA from 1 species
UACGAAGGGGGCAAGCGUUGUUCGGAAUUACUGGGCGUAAAGGGCGCGUAGGCGGUGCGUUAAGUUAGGCGUGAAAGCCCUGGGCUCAACCCGGGAAUUGCGCUUGAUACUGGCGCGCUCGAAUCCAGGAGAGGUUGGUGGAAUUCCCAGUGUAGAGGUGAAAUUCGUAGAGAUUAGGAAGAACACCAGUGGCGAAGGCGGCUCACUGGCCCGGUACUGACGCUGAGGCGCGAAAGCGUGGGGGAGCAAACAGG